UUGUGGUAGUCUUUGGAUGUUGCCUAUUGACUGAUGCAGAGAGCUUUAGCUGUUCUCAUGUUCAUGCAGUCAUUGGUCUACAUAAACAGCUGGGACCUGUGGUGGGUAAGCACCUAGAGCUGAGAAGGAUACCUCCUUAUGUCCCGAGGUGGAAGUAGAUGCAUAUGGAUGGUUACCUCAUCAAGUUGCAGAUAGAUUUGGUUUUUUUACAUAAAAAGUUGUGGAAUUAGAAGAAUCUAAUUUAGGUGCCCCAGCAAGACUUUAGAAAAGGCAUGGUAGCAAUAUUCCAUGUAUUAAUUUAAAAUGAUACUGUAGACAGGUGUUAAUCCAUUACUUGAAACUGCUGAAUUUUUUCUAGACCAAUCCAGUAGGAUCUCUCCUAUUAUUCUCUUCUGUUUCUUUUUGCUAAUGCAGGCUUUUAUGUUUCAGCAAAGAAAGCCAAAAUGAACAAAUUCAACUCAGUGCCCAAUUCCUGAAGAGAAGGCUGGAUUUGGUGUCUCAGUUGGAAGAGGCUCUAGCUUUGAACAAGAUCUUCACAAGGGAUGAUGUGUGUUUGUGACCUCGGCUCUGAUGCGCAGCCCCUGGCUCCACCAGCACUGCUGUAAGAAGGCUGGUGCUCCUCUGCUUCGUGCCCUGGGCUCAGCCUUUCUCCAUUCUGGGAGACUCUGUGGCAGCAGGCAGCCACCUGAGCAAAAUGGUCAGACCAAAGCUGAGAGGUUGCCCUUUCCCACUGGCAAAGCAAGACUUUGCACUGGAAGCCCCUAGGAGAAAAAGUUUCUGCAUGACAUUUUACAAGAGCCUAUAGGUGCUGCGUAACUGGAAACAAGCUGAAAACUGUUCUGUAAGCUGUGGGAGCAAUGAAAUCUGAUUUAGUCUGGAUCUAGAAAUGAGGAAAAGUGCAUUGCCUGACUCUUAAACACCUGGAUCAUUAGUGAAAAUGUGAUCUACACCCCGGAAGACAUUCAGCCAUAGACUGGAUCUUCUAUGACAUUUCCAUACCAGGUUUUGCUGUGCUCGUGGCUGGGGCUGAGGUGCUGAGCCACCACCUCUUGGGUCUUAUGGUUAACCAUCAUGCUGCUGUUCACAUCUUCAGGUACACUCCAGUACACCUGAAGAUCUACUGGGCUUUUGCAUCUGAGUUGUUUGCUUUCAAAAGUGCAACCCCAAAUCGCAUCUCUGUCUAAAAUUGGCUGAAUGAAAAUGCAACCACAUUAGGCAUGUUUGUAAAUCUAACAGCUCUGUCUUCUUUUUGGUCUUCAUCAAUCACUUAUAUUCUCCCAAUACCUGCUGUCCAGGAUGAAUUAUUUAUCAAUCCCAGAGAAUUUUGUCAGCAAAUUGUUAUAAUCAUCAGCUGAGCUCUCUGAGCCCUUUGUUAAAAUCCAAUGACUGGCCGUGUGACCAUACACUGAGCUUUAUUCAUCACUGUCUUUGUGCCACUGCUUGUAGUAAUGCAGAGUAUCUGUAUCAUAGAACAAUUUGAAUUGGAAAGGAUCCUUAAAGACCAUUCCUACCAAUUCCCCUGCAGCGAACUGGGACACCUACAGCAGGUUAGGGUGCUCAGAGCCUCCUCCAGCCUGACAUUGAGUGCCUCUAAGGAUGGGACAUCCACCACCUCUCUGGGCAACCUGUUCCAGUGCCUCACCACCCUUAAAUACUCUGGAUGGUGUCGCAGACUCUGCUUCCUUGCUCUCUUUUUUAUCAUUUUUUUUCACUGAUAAAAUGACUUCUUGAAGUGAAAAAGAAUACUCAGCCUUUGUCCUUGUAGCUUUUCCCAAUUUUUAUUAUCUUUAAAACUCUUCUAGGACCUGCCUUUUUUGUCCUGCCAGUGCCUGUGAGAUAUAUCAGCGCCCACAGAAGCAAACAGACUUUCUGGUCACAGUGUGCUCUCUAAGGUGUCCUUGCCCUCAGUCUUGUGGCCUAUCUGGUAUGGGAGCAGUGUGUAGGGCAAGGAUGCAGGAGGAGAGUGUUGGGUGGUGUACAUAACUUUUGUACCCUUUCAUAUCUUCCUCAUUCAUUUCAGUCUCUUUCACUGUGAAAUGGUUGCCUUAAGUGUUGGGCAUGAGCACGUGAGAGAUCAGACUGGGUUUGUCUGAGUCUAAAAGCAUUGGACCACAGAAACAGGUGGAGUAGAAAAGCCAUGCCCAGCACAAUCCCUGCUGAGCUGAGCAUCUGAAACCAAAGGCAGAGAGAAACCUGUGACUGCCUUCCUGCCCAGGCUGUUGUUAGCUACUUGUGUUGGCAGUAGCAUGACGUGCCACUGGCUUACCAGGUGUUGUCAGUGUCCUUCUUAGCCCUCUCCAUCCUACGUAUUCUCUUAAGGUUUUAUCUUUCCAUAGAGGGGCUCAGACUUAUUUCCUGGCUUCCUGUGGUUAAGAUGCUUAAUUAAAGAUGAACUUUAUGAGUCAUUUGAAAACAUGCUAGCAUAGGAUUUAGCAUGGCACCAAGCAGCUUUCCUUUCAGUUGUCACUAGCACAAGUCAUUGGUUCACAUUUCCUAGAGCUUAGUGAGCUGUAGGACUGUACCUUUUUUUCACUCACAGUAGCAGUUUAGAGUGGGAUCAAAAAAUACUUAGUCACCUACAGGAGAAAAAAACUGAAAUUCAGUUCUGGAAAAAUGAAAUCCUGAAGAAUCUGUGUAAGUGCUGGCUGUUUCCAAGAGAUGUGUGUUGCUUUGUCUUUGCUGUUCAGGCUGUCCCAGGACUCAAAAAUUCUGCUCUGGAUGUGCUGGGUUCAUGGACAUGCUCAGUUGCCUGCUCUCAGGCAGGCCACCUGAGAUGCUGCAGGUUGUUUGUCCAACUCCAGAACACCCCCCCUUCAGCCACAUACUGUUUCUGCAUUGUAGAUGUUCCUCUAAAAGCAUGUAUCCUGCCUCACUAUGUGUGUGUCAUUAGCUACAGUGACAGGCUUUUUCCAGUCAUUUCAAUUGACAGAGAAACAGCAUGCUAACAGCUAUGGCUUUUUAGCCACCUAGUUAUGGUAAGCAGCUGAGAGUGCUUCAUUGGGUUUCCCAUCUUUGAAUAUAAAUAAUAUAAAGUAUAAGGUCUCCUGAGAAACACCUACCUACUGCUGCUUCUUUUUUCUUACUUGAAUUAAUGCAACAGUGGCUUCCAGCUGUUACAUCUUCACUGCUAAAGACCUCCUUGCUGUCAAAAUAAUUUCCAUGUCCUCAUCUGUAAACUAUGGCAAAUAGAUUCACUCAUUUUCAGCUUGGUGAGUUAAAUGAGCUGGAUGCUUAACUCAGUCCAUAUACCAUGCAUUUUCCAGAUCUCAAAUAAGUCUUGAGGAUCUUCUGCAUUUUUUUUUAUUUUGAAAAAUGGGCACAAAGGUUGUGUUAGCAUCAGUAGCAGUAUCUCCUUCUGUUUCCCCGUGCAGUGUUUGUGCAUGGCAGGAUGCUUUAUGCUGAGAAAGCCUGCUUGAUUUCACUCAUUCAGAUGCUCACAGAGUCCUUAUGUGGCUGCUUCUUUCUAAAAUACCUCCUACUUUUAAUGGCAGCAUCUGUUUGUGGUUCCUUGGCUUAUUCAAAUAUAUGUAGUUCAUGAAGCAAUGGAGAUGCCUUGAUAGAAUUAGAUUGAAACAUUUUUUUUCCUGCCAUUUGCCUGUUUCUCUCUCACUUUGAAUUUUGUACUUAUCUUGUAAAUUGAACGAUAACAAAUAAAACUGGGCUUGAAGAAUUUGCUACGUCGCUCUGCU